rnacentral:rRNA from 1 species
AGAACGAACGCUGGCGGCAUGCCUAACACAUGCAAGUCGAACGAGACCUUCGGGUCUAGUGGCGCACGGGUGCGUAACGCGUGGGAAUCUGCCCUUGGGUUCGGAAUAACAGUUAGAAAUGACUGCUAAUACCGGAUGAUGACGAAAGUCCAAAGAUUUAUCGCCCAGGGAUGAGCCCGCGUAGGAUUAGCUAGUUGGUGAGGUAAAGGCUCACCAAGGCGACGAUCCUUAGCUGGUCUGAGAGGAUGAUCAGCCACACUGGGACUGAGACACGGCCCAGACC